UACAGAGGGGGCAAGCGUUGUUCGGAAUUACUGGGCGUAAAGGGCGCGUAGGCGGCCUGCUAAGUCGAACGUGAAAUCCCCGGGCUCAACCCGGGAACUGCGUCCGAUACUGGCAGGCUUGAAUCCGGGAGAGGGAUGUGGAAUUCCAGGUGUAGCGGCGAAAUGCGUAGAUAUCUGGAGGAACACCGGUGGCGAAGGCGGCAUCCUGGACCGGCAUUGACGCUGAGGCGCGAAAGCCAGGGGAGCAAACGGG
rnacentral:rRNA from 1 species